GAUGAACGCUAGCUACAGGCUUAACACAUGCAAGUCGAGGGGCAGCAUGGAAGAAGCUUGCUUCUUCUGAUGGCGACCGGCGCACGGGUGCGUAACGCGUAUCAAACCUGCCUCAUACUCGGGGAUAGCCUUGCGAAAGUAAGAUUAAUACCCGAUGUUGUUAUGUUACCGCAUGGUGAUAUAACCAAAGAUUUAUCGGUAUGAGAUGGUGAUGCGUCCGAUUAGGUAGUAGGCGGGGUAACGGCCCACCUAGCCUUCGAUCGGUAGGGGUUCUGAGAGGAAGGUCCCCCACACUGGAACUGAGACACGGUCCAGACUCCUACGGGAGGCAGCAGUGAGGAAUAUUGGUCAAUGGACGCAAGUCUGAACCAGCCAAGUAGCGUGCAGGAUGACGGCCCUCUGGGUUGUAAACUGCUUUUAGUUGGGAAUAAAAAAGAGGACG
rnacentral:rRNA from 2 species